CCCUUUUCAGUGCGCGGCCCCGAUACCCCUCGGGCCGGCCCAGGUACAGGAGGUGCCUCCCGAGACCCCCGGAGUAUCUGGAGGGGCCUACCGAGGGAACUCGGGCCCCAUGCCGGGUGCAGCGGCUGAGAGGGAGGUGAACAAUGCAGCCAGAAAAAGCCACAAAAAGCCUGUGACCCUCAGUGUCCAGCUCAAGCCCCAUGACCCGCCGUGCUGUUUGGGCUGACCGUUUCCCACUGCACCUGGGGAUGGGCUCAGAUCCCCCUCCAGAUCGUCCCCCUGGGGGCAGCACCUUCAGCACUGACCCAUCGUUGGAGCCAAGGAACAGGACUGUGGUGUUAUUGUGGGGACCUGCCAUCCCAUCCACAGCUACCUGGGUCAGUGGGGCCCUGCAGGGAAAGGCCUCAGGUCAGGGGAAACUGAGGCUUGUGUGUGAGCUUGAGUGUCUCAAAGAAAGCCCAGGUGUCCUGGCACCCAAUCCUGGGCCCUUCCCCCACACUCCAGUGUUUCCUCCUUCCAUUGCUGCCAUUUACCUUGUGGGGUCAGAGGAGGAAAAUGGCUAGGGGGUAGGGGGCAGUCGUGUUUUUAGCCCCAUACCUGCUGGUGAGGGUGAGUAGUGGCUGAUGUGUGGCAGGUGGCACGGCAGGGUCCAGCAGCGGGUGAGCCUUGAUGAAGGUCAGGACAUCAUCAGGGAGAUCUCGAGAAGAGGAGAACGAGGCAGCUCCACCUACUCCUGCACAGGACCCUGGCCUGGUGGGCACAUGGGAAAGGACAGCAUUAGGGCAGGGACCCCAGGCUUAGUUAGGCUCUGUGCUGUGCCACACCCAAAUAUGAUCAUAACCCUUGUUCUCCCUACACACAGACACUCACACCACUACUCCCAUUCCCUGUUGCAGCCUUCCAGUCCACUGCUCACCUCUUCCCAGGACCUGGGUUUGGGCCUGACCUUAGGCAAUGGCAUCUCUCCUGUUGUUAACUCACUGCAGCCCCUCCCCAGGCCUUGGACACCUUACCCUCUCCUCACAAUCCUAUCUUUGUAACAGACUGUGCUUGUUUCUGCCCCCACAAAACCCAUCCCAUCCUAGGUACCUGGGUGAAGGGACCCUAUCCUCAGACACAGGAGUCCAGGCCCCAUCCAGACUUCUCUGCUCCUUGAAUUUGCCCUCAAACCCAUGCUCAAUAUCAUCCAGGUAGAAGGCACAGACCGCAGAGCCAGGGAUGCUAGGGGAGCCAGAAAAAAGAUGAUGCAGGCUAGGUGUUGGAAGAGACAGCACAGCUCCUCCCAGGUGAGAAGUGGGAGCUACCCUUCAUGCACCAUGUUAGGAGGUGGUGACUGAGGUUGGGGCAGCCACUGGGAGCCAGCUAUGGAAAAAAGGUGGGUGGGAAAGAAAACUGGCUUUGAAUAGGGCUUCCCCUCACUGCCCCCCAUCAGUAGUCUUUGAGAGGAGAGCUUGGACACUGGUGGGGUAGGGGACAGAUGGGCCACACUGGUCAGCACAGUACCAACCUAUUGGUCUGGGUGGUGAAGACCCCAAAGAAAGCAGAGCGGCCGUGCAGGUUUACAGGCCCAGUCAAGGCCUGGAGGACAUCAAAAUAGAAGGUGGAGUCCCCAGGGACAGAGCAAUUGAGCCGCAGCUUCAGGAAAGAAGUCCAAUGGCGGUCCAAGGCCCGAGGAGCAGCCUCCCGUCCCCAGGCCCGCCCUGACCUCGGAGCCACUUGGAGUCGUACUUGGCGGAGCGAAGUGGGGGCUGAGGCCCGAGGCUCCUGUAAACUACCGCAUCGCUGGCCUGGAAAUCCGCAGCUGUGGCUGAGUACAGACUGCCCUCUGGAGGGGUGGGUAGGGUAGAGUCGGGAAGGCUCAGGGACCUGUAUCCAUGCUCUUCUGAGAUCUCCCACCCUACCUGGCCCCUGGCCCUGGCCCCUAUCUUGGCCCUCCACUCAGGGGCUUGGGGAAGAGAACAGGUUGGGAGUGAGCUAAGCUGGGUUCUCCCUCCAGCCACAUGCCUGUCUCCCACAUGCCAAGGUCCAUACCUGCAAAGACGGCCACAUUGGACUGGGUGGCGUCAAAGGGGCAUCGAGCCUGCCCACUCAGCUCCUCACCCUCCUGCUGCAGUGAAGUUAUCUGGGGGCAGAUGGAACAGGUUCAUAGAACCCUUGGGGUCUUGGAGCUUGGCUCCAUAGCCUACUUCCUCAUGUCCCCUUGCUUCCUUCCCCCGCCCCUCUGGGUACUCCCAUUCCUCCACCCCAGGUGAUGGUCCUUCUCCACCAAACUGGCCAUUUUGGGUCCUCCCACAGUGACCCUCCCAGCCUCCCCUUUGUACCCCAUAGCUGCGGCACACAGGACUGAACGAGUUUGUUCCACAGGCAAGGAGAGUCUGGGAGUCCCAGGGAAUGAGAACACGGAUGUAGUUGUAACACUCGUCCUAGAGAACCCAAAAUUCCAGGUCAGCCACAGAGGUCCCUGGGGCUGGAACUAGCGGCCACAAGGAGUAAGGUUCCUAUCCUUGAGCUAGUCACAGCAAUAUGAAGUAAAGUCCCAGCUAAGUCAUUCGUUAGCUCUACAGCCUUGAGCAAGUCCUUUGGCCUCUCUGAGCCUCACUUUCCUUAUCUGAGAGUAAUAAUAGCUAUUUCCCAGGGUUUUUUGUGAAGUGUGUAUAAAGGAAGCUAAAAGCCAUGAAUUCCCUUUUCUUCCCAGUUUCCUCUGAGGCCUGGGAUGGGAGGUGGGUGGGAAACAGGGCAUGGUGGAGGGCUGCAUGGACAGGGCCUGGAGGCCAGGUAAUCCUUUUCUUUCCUCGAAAAUUCUCAUGCCACAGCUCACCGUCAACUUCCCCCGCACAGCACAGUUCUCCACAUCCUGGCUCCUCCAUGUUAGAUACUGAAAAGAAAAGCAGAAGAGGGAAAAUCAUAGGGCAACCUGGACCCCACCUCACACUAUAGCUCCUUUUGAAUCCUUUUCCCUACCCAGUUAACCCCCAUGAGUCUUUCCCAGCCUCAUCCCCAUGCCUGUCCCUCAUCCCCUCAGCCCCUCACCUUGUUGGGCACCAGCCCCUUCCCCUCUUCUUGGGCUUGAAGAUCGAAGGAGAAAACAUGAUCCCUGAAGGAGUAGGCAAGCAGGGAUCAGAGCCAAGCCAGGGCACCCACCCGAGCUCCUGAGUCCCCACCUUCCCCAUGUUCAGCUACUCAAGAGACAAACAGCACAGACCUCCUGCCCUUUUUCCUCCCCCUUACUCUACGCCUUGGCUUGUGCUCUGGGUCCAAGCAUGUCCAUGUCCCAUGGCGUGUGCACCUGCAUGUGUCCCCUGCAAAGGUGCUGCAGUGGCCAUGCAGGUCCCAUGUCUGCCCGGGUGCAUGCAUGUCUUCCCCACAACUGUGCCUCGGUCAGUUUACCGGGCGGCCACCAGCAAGGUCCGGUUCAAGGUCAGAAAUCUCUGAAAAUCCAGCCCAAGUUGUGCAGCCACGGCAUCAUCCUCCAACCCCCGGAACCAGGAUAGUGGGGAGGUACCUAGGAGACACAGAGAGGUGUGGUGCCAAGGGCCAGCCGGGAUACCACAUAUUCCCCAAACACCCUGUCCAACCACACAAAAGUAGGAGAGGGAUACCCAGCUAUAGCAGAGUAGAUCUGUGAGGUAAGUUGUGAGGUGCCCUAAAACUAUUACGAAAAGUAAUAGCAGCUAACAUUUAGCACUUAAUCUCUGCUGGGCACUGUUAGCACUUUUGCCCCACAGGGUUUCCAAGGCUGUAAUCUUUACGGAAGCAGACUGCCACAUCUUUCUCCCAUGGAGCAGCUAGUGGGUUCAAACCACUGACCUUUCAGUUAGCAGCCAAGUGCUUUAACCACUGCACCACCAGGGCUCCUCCUUUCUAGGUACCUUAUUUCAUUUAAUACAACUCUUUUUUUUUUUUUUUUUAUGAGGUAGGCACUAACAUUGGCUUCAUUUUACAGAAAUUCAUUUAGCUUGAGAGUGGCAAAAAUCAAAACUCCAUUGCCGUUGAGUCAAUUCCAACUUAUAGUGACCCUACAGGACAGAACAGAACUGCCACAGAGGGUUUCCAAGGCUGUAAUCUUUAGGGAAGCUGACUGCCACAUCUUUCUUCCGCAGCGUGGCUGGUAUAUUCAAACUGCCAACCUUUUUCUGUUAGCAGCCGAGCACUUAACCACUGUUUCACCAGGGCUCCCUGAAAGUAUCAGGCACCACGAUUCAGAUCCAGGGCUUUCCAAUUCCAGACUUAAGCCAAUCCCUAUCUCUCCCACACUGUGCAGUCUCAUCUUGCAACAUCUACUCACCCCAUGUCUCCCCACCCUCUCUCUGCACCGUUCCUUCAGGCCCUUCACAGGCCACCCAGCCCUCCAAGAUUUCUGUCUCCUCUGACCAACUCCAGCAUCCACCUGACCUGGUUACGGAAACCACUGUCAUCAGAGCUCAAAGGGAGGGUUUCCAAGACUGUAAUCUCUACAGAAGCAGACUGCAACAUCUUUCUCCUGUGGAGCAGCUGGUAGUUUCAAACCGCCGACCUUUCGAUUAGCAAUCACUUUAACUACUGCGCCACCAAGACUUCUUACAUAUAUAACAGAGUUCUACAAACAGAUGAAGAUUCUAUCAGAAAAAGUGAGUUUAUGAUUUUUAUCAUGGUGGGACCUUGGCUGGCUGGUGGUACAAAUGGUAGACAGGGAGGUAAGAGGUGUUAGGAAUCCCUGAACUAGUCCCAAGCUUUCAUUUUGUAGCUAAUGAUAGCAAAUACAUAUAAAGCAUUUAAUUUGUGCCAGACAGUAUUCUCAGCACUUUAUGUGCAUUACCUCAUUUAAUCCCUAAAUAACUUUGUGAGGUAUAAUACUAUUAUUAUCCUCAUUUUGCAGAUGAGGAGACUGAGGCAAAGACAGGUUAAAUAACUUGAUCAAGGUCACAUAGCUAGCGAGAAGCUUAGCAGAGAUUCAAACCUGCUAGCUUUGGUCUGGCUGAGAGUCAUGUUCUUAACCAAGCCACCAGAUGAAACUGUCUGUAAGUGAAGAAAGCAGAUCCAGGGAUGAGAAGCAACUGGCCUGAGGUGCCAGCUAGCUCUACCUGCCUGUUCCUCUUUGCUGGUCAGCCCUUAGCUGGGAGCCUUCUUGUGCCUUGCCUUCCACACAGGAGCUCUCAGUUUUUGCUGGUUGAGUGAUGGGCUCAGAGGGGCAGGGUUGCAGGACACUCACCUUGCAGGUCAGA